rnacentral:rRNA from 1 species
CUGAUGGAGCACGCCGCGUGAGUGAAGAAGGGUUUCGGCUCGUAAAGCUCUGUUGUUAAAGAAGAACGUGGGUAAGAGUAACUGUUUACCCAGUGACGGUAUUUAACCAGAAAGCCACGGCUAACUACGUGCCAGCAGCCGCGGUAAUACGUAGGUGGCAAGCGUUAUCCGGAUUUAUUGGGCGUAAAGCGAGCGCAGGCGGUCUUUUAAGUCUAAUGUGAAAGCCUUCGGCUCAACCGAAGAAGUGCAUUGGAAACUGGGAGACUUGAGUGCAGAAGAGGACAGUGGAACUCCAUGUGUAGCGGUGAAAUGCGUAGAUAUAUGGAAGAACACCAGUGGCGAAGGCGGCUGUCUGGUCUGCAACUGACGCUGAGGCUCGAAAGCAUGGGUAGCGAACAGGAUUAGAUACCCUGGUAGUCCAUGCCGUAAACGAUGAUUACUAAGUGUUGGAGGGUUUCCGCCCUUCAGUGCUGCAGCUAACGCAUUAAGUAAUCCGCCUGGGGAGUACGACCGCAAGGUUGAAACUCAAAAGAAUUGACGGGGGCCCGCACAAGCGGUGGAGCAUGUGGUUUAAUUCGAAGCUACGCGAAGAACCUUACCAGGUCUUGACAUCUUCUGACAGUCUAAGAGAUUAGAGGUUCCCUUCGGGGACAGAAUGACAGGUGGUGCAUGGUUGUCGUCAGCUCGUGUCGUGAGAUGUUGGGUUAAGUCCCGCAACGAGCGCAACCCUUAUUACUAGUUGCCAGCAUUAAGUUGGGCACUCUAGUGAGACUGCCGGUGACAAACCGGAGGAAGGUGGGGACGACGUCAAAUCAUCAUGCCCCUUAUGACCUGGGCUACACACGUGCUACAAUGGAUGGUACAACGAGUCGCGAGACCGCGAGGUUAAGCUAAUCUCUUAAAACCAUUCUCAGUUCGGACUGUAGGCUGCAACUCGCCUACACGAAGUCGGAAUCGCUAGUAAUC